UACGUAGGGCGCAAGCGUUUGUCCGGAAUUAUUGGGCGUAAAGAGCUCGUAGGCGGCCUGUCGCGUCUGCUGUGAAAUCCCGGGGCUUAACCCCGGGCGUGCAGUGGAUACGGGCUGGCUGGAGGCAGGCAGGGGAGAACGGAAUUCCCGGUGUAGCGGUGAAAUGCGCAGAUAUCGGGAGGAACACCGGUGGCGAAGGCGGUUCUCUGGGCCUGUACUGACGCUGAGGCACGAAGGCUGGGGGAGCGAACAGG
rnacentral:rRNA from 1 species